rnacentral:lncRNA from 1 species
AAGAUGUAAUUUUAAUAUUUAGCAGGUAAAUAUGUUACAUCAUUCGAGGUUAUUUCGGUAAUUAAACUAUACAACAUUCAAAGAAACUUUUACUUGAUAUCCUAAAUUUAUAUAUUAGUUUGCACUAACUUAGAAAAUUGAUUGAUUAACCUAAUUUAGGCAUUAAUUAGGCAUUAAUUUACGAAUUUAGUUUAGAAAUUUACGAAUUUAGUUUAAACAUAAAAAUUUAAAAGAUUAGGAUUACUAUUCAGAAAAAAAAAAAGUUAGAAAUUUGAAUUCGAACCCGAUUAACAAUCACAAAAUCUAUUUUCGAACUCGAUGGAUUUCAAAAAUCCAUAUCUAAACCCGAAAUUAACCAAUUUUUCGAAUUCAAAACCAAAUCCAAACCGAAAGACUGGAACCCGAAAAAUUAUUUCUUUUUACCAUAUUUUAAAAUAUUUUAUAUUAAAUUUAAAAUUUUAAAAUAUAAAUUUGAAUAUAAUAUUAAAUUUUAUAUAUGAUUCGGGUUGGAUUCAAGAUGGAUAUAGAAAAAAUCCAUAGUUGGUUCAAAAAUUAAUCUCAUGUUCUUGUUGUCAAAUAAUUUAAAAAUUUUCUUAUAUGAAAUGCCAAAUAUGAGGGAACGAUAGAAAGAGAAAAUUUUUUUUUAGUAAUAUAAUAGAUAUAAAAUGACUAAAUUGCUUAUGUAUUAAAAGACAAAAAUACCGUUUUUUGAGGUACCUCGUGACUGGUAGCUUUUCUAAAAUGACUGCUAUUGCAGGUCACAAUUUUAAAAAAAUUAAAUCUGAACCGUUGAAUAGAAGUGAAUAAACGGUAACCAAAAAAAAAAAAAAAA